rnacentral:misc_RNA from 1 species
GCAGUUUCCUCAUCUGCAGUCGCAGAGUGCUCAUUAUCCAUUAAUCUCUGACACUGGUGGUACAAAUCAGGAUGCACAAGUUCUGUGGAAAUCUUAAGCUUAGAAAGGUAAGAACAACUCAGUUUAGAAUUAUCAUCCAUUGACCGUCUAAGAGGAGUUGGUGUUUCAGAGAAGAGCUCUGGAGUGUUGGGGCUUUCUUUUGCAGAAGGGAUAUUAGGCCUUAUUUCAGCAG